rnacentral:rRNA from 1 species
UACGAAGGGGACUAGCGUUGUUCGGAUUUACUGGGCGUACAGGGAGCGUAGGCGGUUGGGUAAGCCCUCCGUGAAAUCUCCGGGCCUAACCCGGAAAGUGCGGAGGGGACUGCGCGGCUAGAGGAUGGGAGAGGAGCGCGGAAUUCCCGGUGUAGCGGUGAAAUGCGUAGAUAUCCGGAGGAAUACCAGUGGCGAAGGCGGCACGCUGGGCCAUAACUGACGCUAAGACGCGAAAGCAUGGGUAGCGAACGGG